CACGCAGGCGGUGACUUAAGUGAGGUGUGAAAGCCCCGGGCUUAACCUGGGAAUUGCAUUUCAUACUGGGUCGCUAGAGUACUUUAGGGAGGGGUAGAAUUCCACGUGUAGCGGUGAAAUGCGUAGAGAUGUGGAGGAAUACCGAAGGCGAAGGCAGCCCCUUGGGAAUGUACUGACGCUCAUGUGCGAAAGCGUGGGGAGCAAACG
rnacentral:rRNA from 1 species